rnacentral:rRNA from 1 species
AUCUAAGGCUUUGCCACCAUGAACGCACCCAAUUUCAUUGAUCUCAGAAGCUAAAGAGGGUUGGACCUGGUUAGUACUUGGAUGGGAGACCUGUUUCUAAUGUGAGCAUCAGCUC